rnacentral:ncRNA from 1 species
AGUUUUAUUCUUGCUUAAUUGUUUACUUUUUAUAUAUUUUACAUGUGAAUUUUUGUGAAUAUACUUUACUUUAAUAGUAAAAUUGUUAUUUGCAGUAUUUAAUAUUAAACAUCAAGGAAAUUUGGAAUUAGUAAUAUAAUAUGAGAUCGGCCAAAAUCGUGCCAGCAGCCGCAAGGUUAUACGUAAGAUUUAAGUGAACAUUAUUAGUAUAGGAGUUAAUAGAUUUAAUAAGUAUAAGUGUGGAUUUUAAAGGUAGAAUUUUGAAUCUACUUAAGACUUUAAAUAUAAUAUGAAGCUUUGAAAUUUAAAUUAUAAACUAGGAUUAGAUACCCUAUUAUUUUAAAUGUAAAGGAUUUACUUGAGUAGUAAUAGUUAAGUUCUUGAAACUCAAAGAAUUUGGCGGUGUUUUAGUCUCUUCAGAGGAAUCUGUCCUAUAAUCGAUAAUACACGUUAUAUUCAACUUAGUUUAGAGUUAUGUUUGUAUACCGCCGUCGUAAGAUUAUUUUUUUAGAAUAGAUAAUUUUCUAAAAGUUGAAUUAAAAUAUAUGUCAGGUCAAGGUGCAGCUUAUGACUAAGUAAGAGAUGGAUUACAAUGGAAAAAUUUAAAUGGAUCUUGCAUUGAAAAAAGCAUUUGAAGGUGGAUUUGAAAGUAAUGUUGUUAAAUUAUGACAAUGUGACUGUAGCUCUAAAACAUGCACACAUCGCCCGUCGCUCUCAUUAUUAAGGUGAGAUAAGUCGUAACAAAGUAGAUGUACUGGAAAGUGUAUCUAGAAUG